CACCACCCAGGUGGCAGUCAUUAAUUUUAAAAUUGUUACAUAAGGUGGGAAACAUGUGGCAUUCCUCUGUGGGAAAGAAACUGUUAACACAGUUAAACACCUCUUUCUUAGCAAAACAGAAAGUGGGUGAAUGUGUGACAGACAGAA